rnacentral:rRNA from 1 species
UACGGAGGGUGCAAGCGUUGUUCGGAAUUAUUGGGCGUAAAGCGCGCGCAGGCGGUCGGGUCAGUCCAUGGGUGAAAUGCCGGAGCUCAACUCCGGAACUGCCUUUAAGACUGCAUCGCUUGAACGUCGGAGAGGUAAGUGGAAUUCCGAGUGUAGAGGUGAAAUUCGUAGAUAUUCGGAAGAACACCAGUGGCGAAGGCGACUUACUGGACGACAGUUGACGCUGAGGUGCGAAAGCGUGGGGAGCAAACAGG